GUCUAACUGUCCAGUGUUGAGAUGGAGAUGAGUGGCCUCCUGAGUGUUCUGCUGGUCACAUCAGCAGCCUUGCUGUUUAUAGCUAACGGACAGAGCAACUAUGAUAUGUUGAGGGAUGUUGACAAGAAACAUGUUGACAUGGCUAUAAGAUAUGCAAAUAAGAAUAGUGCGAUUCAGAAAUACAAUCCAAAAGAGCACCUCAAUUUUUUUCAAGUUAUUGGACAAUCUGAGACCAAGGCUGGGGAAUUUAAAAUCAACUUGUUGUUGAAAGCAACAGACUGCCCUAAGGCCAGUAGUGAUAGUGAACAUGAACAUCGCCCUGAAUGUAGCUUUAAAUCCAGAAGGCCUUAUAUAAACUGUGUUGUUUGCAGAAAAGACUUCCAUGACCCCUACAUUGACUGUGUUCUCCACAAAGAUGUGAAGAAGCAAGAUAACAUCCGAUAUGACAAGUGUUCAUCUCUUCAACGUGGAGUGCUUACACCUUUAUCCUUACGUGCCGAAGAAGACCUUCAGACUGGAUGCCUUGGCUGUUUCUGAUAACUAAUGAAAGAACGUGUACUGAUGAUCAGAGGCCGUCCUUAUAAAGCACUUAUAAAGCAUUUAUAAUGUAGCCUUUUGGGAGUUUCGGUUGGGAUUUUCAAAACAAUACAAUUGUCUCAAAUACUAUUUUGAAUCCCUUAUAUUAUCGUAUUCCACGUAGAUAAAUAUUCUUAAACGUACCCUCCUUUGCUGGUACUCCACAUAUAUUUUAAGAAAAAGUGAGAACAGUCUGCUACUUAAGAUUCACAUGGAUUACCCCACAACUUAUUUCAAUGUUGUACAUUUACGAAAUAAUAUUACUGUUGAAAGUAAAGCUUACUCUAAUUUAACCAGUAUGAGGGGUGAAAUAAGGAUGUUAUUGGAUUCUUUUUUUCUAAAUCUUUGUUUUACCAUUUUGGGAAGAAAAUUGCCUGUAUGUCUUGCAGUGUAAAAUGAUUGCAGCUCUGUUUCUACUUCUCUCAGGGCAGCCAAGUCUGCCUGUGACUGCAGAUCACUACUAGGUUUUUAUAGGUAACAUAAUGAACUUAGGGUCUGGUCCCUAUGGCCAGGCUGUGUUCACUGAGUCUGCACAUUGUCAAUUCAGUAUGUUCCUUAGUCACUGUGAACAUAUGUCUGUAGACCAAACGGCAUUAAAGUUUGCUUUGGGUUUUGGGAGGUCAACAACCUUCUGGUUGGAGCUGGUAUCGGGUUAUUGUCUACAGAAGGACAAAACGGGCAUUAGUUGCUAUAUUUAAUUAUGAAUGCAUUCAUUUUUGGGGGGGGUAAUUGUUUUUCUUUCAAGUUGUAUUGUUUAAGAUUAACUAAGAGAACUGCAGGCCACCAUGGACGGCUACAUUUCAGGUGUAGAGGUGGGUGUUUGUAUUUUCCAACAAGCCACUGUGCUCUCCUCUUUCACUCAUCUGCCUUUUUUAUUCUGUCACACCCCAGCUGGGGCCUUUGGACCUUAACUGCUGAUCCUUUUUCCAAAUAUAGUGUUGGACAGCAUGCAUUCUUGUCCCAGCCAACGUGUCAAGCUGCCUUAUCCAGCCUAUGUAGCUGUGAAAACCAAAAUAAAGAAUUAGCCGAUAUAUACACAAACACACACACAUAGUGGAUAACAAAUAUUCAGGUACGUAAAAAGUUGUUGAUAUAAAAAUACAUUUUCAAACAAGUUAACUUUGUUUAAAUUCUGUGUUGUUAUAGAGUGCAUUGGUCACAGUCCCAAAGCCAGCCCUCUGUAAAGCUCUAUCCAGUAGUAGAUCUUAGGAAACUGGGACUAUCCCGAACUUCAAGUGAAGGUGUGCAGCAACCAAUCAGAGAUUAGUGGGCGUCCGUGACUCCCUGCUGUCACCUCUCGUAUCAAUAGUUACUGGAGUUGUAAUUCUAGUUGUAUGAGUGGAGCUCUGCUCCUAGUGGUUUAUCCCACUGCCUAGGGAGUGAAUAGCCUGUGAAAAAUUAUGCACACACUUGCAGCCAAUGGGAGUACAGGUGUCCCUUCCUCCCAUUAUCUUCAGUGAAACUGGGGGUCGGCAGGGCCUUAAGUCCUAUGGGGCUUCACUCACAGAACUGGAGUUACAACUCUGGUAACUAUAUGUUCUACAUAGGGGAGCUCAUUUGAUUUACACAACAUGCCUACCAUUUUGAAACAAACAAGAAAUAAAAACAUGUGCAAAACUAUUCGCCACCUUUUGGCAGCAAUUACACCCCAAGAGACUUGUAGCUAUGUCUCUAUAAGCUUGGUACAUCUAGCCACUGGUAAUUUUGCUCAUUCUUCAAGACCAAUCUGGAUGCGUUCCGCUGGUAUGCAGCAAUCUUUAAGUCAUAGCACAGAUUCUCAAUUGGAUUUAGGUCCGGGCUUUGACUAGGCCAUUCCAAGACAUUGAAAUGUUUCCCCUUCAACCAGUCGAGUGUUGCUUUAGCGUCAUUGUCCUGCUGGAAGGUGGACCUCCAUCCCAGUCUCAAAUCUCGUUGAUUGAAACCGGUUUCCCUGUAUUUAGCGCAUCCAGCAUUCCUUCUAUUUUGAUCAGUUUCCCGGCCCCUGACGAUUUGAAAAAUAUCGCCACCACCUUGCUUCACUGUGGGGAUGGUGUUCUACGGUUGAUGAGGUGUUGUGUUUGCGACAGAUAUAGCGUUUUUCGUUGAUGGCCAAAAAGCUCAAUCUUAGUCUCAUCUGACCAGAGUACCUUCUUCCAUAUGUUUGGGUGGUCUCCCACAUGUCUUUUGGCGAACACCAAAUGUGUUUGCUAAUUUAUGGCUUUUUCUGGCCACAUACUGUAAAGCCCAGCUCUGUGGAGUGUACGCCUUAAAGUGGUCCUAUGGACAGAUACUCCAAUCUCUGCUUUGCAGCUCCUUCAGGGUAAUCUUUGGUCUCUUUGGUGGGCGGCCCUCUCUUGGCAGGUUUGUUGUGGUGCCAUAUUCUUAAACAUUUUUAAUAAUGGAUUUAAUGGUGCUCUGUGGGAUGUUCACAGUUUUUGAUUUUUUUUUGAAUAACCCAACCCUGAUCUGUACUUGUCCACAACUUUGUCCCUGACCUGUUUGGAGAGAUUCUUGGUCUUCACGGUGCCGCUUGUUUGGUGGUGUUGCAGACUCCGGGGCCUUUCAGAAUGUGUGUGUGUGUAUAUACACUUAGAUUGCACACAAUUAAAUAAAAGUUCACCUAUGUGACUUCUGAGGGUAAUUGGUUGCACCAGAUCUUAAGGGGUGAAUACAUAUGCACGCACCACUUUAAGUAAUUUUUUUCAUUUCACUUCAACAAUUGACUCUUUUUUGUGUGUGUCCAUUACAUGAAAUCCAAAUAAAAUCCAUUUACAUUACAGGUUGUAAUGCAAUAAAAGGAAAACCGCCAAGGGGGAUGAAUACU